rnacentral:rRNA from 1 species
GACAGAGGGUGCUAGCGUUGUUCGGAUUGACUGGGCGUAAAGGGCGCGUAGGCGGUUUUAUUAGUCAGGCGUGAAAGCCCCAGGCUUAACCUGGGAAUUGCGUUUGAAACGGUAAGACUAGAGAUCGGGAGAGGAAAGUGGAAUUCCUAGUGUAGAGGUGAAAUUCGUAGAUAUUAGGAGGAACAUCAGAGGCGAAGGCGGCUUUCUGGAACGAUACUGACGCUGAGGCGCGAAAGCGUGGGGAGCAAACAGG